UCCNGAGCUAACUCNGAACNGCCUUCAUACUAUAAUCUNGAGUUCNGAAGAGUGAGUGGAUUCCUAGUGUAGAGUGAAUUCGUAGAUNUUAGGAAGAACAUCAGUGNCGANGGNACUCACUGGUCCGAUACUGACGCUGAGGUGNGAAAGCGUGGGAGCAAACAGGAUUAGAUACCCUGGUAGUCCACACCGUAAACGAUGAAUGCCAGACGUCAGCAAGCAUGCUUGUUGGUGUCACACCUAACGGAUUAAGCAUUCCGCCUGGGGAGUACGGUCGCAAGAUUAAACUCAAAGGAAUUGACGGGGACCCGCACAAGCGGUGGAGCAUGUGGUUUAAUUCGAUGAUACGCGAAGAACCUUACCAAUCCUUGAAAUCUAGCGAAGUUCGCAGAGAUGUGAAUGUGCCUUCGGGAACGCUAUGACAGGUGUUGCAUGGCNGUCGUCAGCUCGUGUCGUGAGAUGUAUGGUUAAGUCCAGUAACGAGCGCAACCCCUAUCNUUAUUUGCCAGCGCGUAAUGGCGGNAACUAUAGGGAGACUGCCGGGUGAAACCCGGAGGAAGGCGGGGACGAGGUCAAGUCAUCAUGGCCCUUAUGGAUUGGGCUACACACNUGCUACAAUGGGAAGUACAGAGGGACGCUAAAGCGCGAGCCGGAGCCAAACCCUUAAAGCUUUUCUUAGUCCGGAUUGGAGUCUGCAACUCGACUCCACGAAGUUGGAAUCACUAGUAAUCGCGAAUCAGAAUGUCGCGGUGAAUACGUUCUCGGGCNUUGUACACACCGCCCGUCACAUCA
rnacentral:rRNA from 1 species